UUUGAAAAUGAUGAAACAUUUACGGAUGAUACAUGUCCGAGAGCGCAAAACCGUGUGGAUAAUGCCGUUGCCUUCCUUCUGAUUCAU
rnacentral:snoRNA from 21 species